UGUAGGCAAGCCCGAACUGAUCAAAUAUCACUGCUGCAUCAAGGCAGACAAGCUGCUGCUCUGAAGAGCUUCAUUUCCAGGAGGAGGAUUUGUUUCAGCUCAAAUUUUGGAUGCUCAAAGCAGCUGUGCUUUCACGGGA